rnacentral:rRNA from 1 species
GACGAACGCUGGCGGCGUGCUUAACACAUGCAAGUCGAACGUGAUUUUUGUGGAAAUUCUUUCGGGAAUGGAAAUGAAAUGAAAGUGGCGAACGGGUGAGUAACACGUGAGCAACCUACCUUACACAGGGGGAUAGCCGUUGGAAACGACGAUUAAUACCGCAUGAGACCACAGAAUCGCAUGAUAUAGGGAUCAAAGAUUUAUCGGUGUAAGAAGGGCUCGCGUCUGAUUAGCUAGUUGGAAGGGUAAAGGCCUACCAAGGCGACGAUCAGUAGCCGGUCUGAGAGGAUGAACGGCCACAUUGGAACUGAGACACGGUCCAAACUCCUACGGGAGGCAGCAGUGGGGAAUAUUGCACAAUGGGGGGAACCCUGAUGCAGCGACGCCGCGUGAGCGAAGAAGGUUUUCGAAUCGUAAAGCUCUGUCCUAUGAGAAGAUAAUGACGGUAUCAUAGGAGGAAGCCCCG